ACGGGGGCGGGACCUGGGGUGGUGGGCGGGGAUUGAGAGGCGGAGCCUGUGGAAGAGGUGGAGUUUAAGAACUGAGAAGGGUGCAGUAAGAGCCAUGGGCAAGGCCUAAAGAGUGGGCCUGAAGAGGGAGGAGUCUGAGGGAGUGAGGACUGAAGAAGGAGUGGACUGAGGGUCCGUGAAGUCUGAGUAAGGUGGUUCAGGCAGGGCGUGACCCGAAGAGGGGCGGGCCUGGCGGGAAGAGGCCCGUAGAAGACAGGACCUGUGGGAGGAAGGGGUGGUGUCUUGGGGGCGGGGCCUGAGUUGGGCUGGGGCGGGGCUUGGCCUGGGGAAGGAAAGGUUGCAUGGCCUAUGCAGCAAAUGGAGCCCUGUUACCUCCCAACAGAGCCAAGAAGGUAUGGGUGCCUGCCACAGUGGACACAUGUGGAAGCCAGCAAGCAGUCGUGGGAGUCAGCUCUCCUUUUCCACCACGUGGGCUCCACGGACCAGUCAGAUUCAGGCUUGGUGACAAGUGCCUUUAUCCACUGAGAAAUCUUCGCAGGCCCUUAGGUGUUUUGUUUUUGUUUUUGUACCAAAAGAUAUAAAUGCAAAUAAACUGCCACAAAUUGAAAACUUCUCAAAGGCCCAUCAACAGAUGGACUGGUAAGCACAUAGUCACACAACAGCACCAGAUGUGAUGAAGUUCCAAAACACUGUGGAAGAGUCCAGAGUGUUCCGGUGGACAUGGAACAUGGACAUGGAAGGGCACAGUUUGGUGUCAGGAAGGGCUCAAGGGAUAGCAAUGCAGCAAGGAAAAAAAUGAAGAGAGCCCCGCUUCACCCAUGCAGACCUCCAGGGAUGCAGCCAGGUGCACGGGAAUUUGAGGACAGGCUGUGUGUCUAUCCGUGUGACACUGAAAACAGCCCUUUGCUCAUCCGUGGAGACAGGCCAAGGAAGGGGCUGCCUGGGGGAGCUGGCGGGAGUUGAAUUGCAAAGAUCUCUAGGAAUGUUCUGGGUGACAUGGCAAGACUAUUUACAAAAACUCAUCUGCUGAGUACUGACCGUGGCUGCAAGGAUGCAAAUUCUGUCCCAGGAACUGACUCCUUUGCUGGGGUAGUUGUGUAAGCAACCCUGGCCUGACGUGCCCAAAGCCAUCUCCUCAACACUGCAGAAAAGGGGAAGCAGGCCCGUCUACUUUGUAUUGUUUUACUUCCUUCAUUUAUUGUGUGUGCUCAUGGGGAAUGUUCAUGUGUGUGGAUGGCAGGGAUCAGUCUGUUGUCACUCCUCAGAUGUCCACUGUUUGUUUUUAAGAAGGGGGCUACACUCCUGUUGAGAGUUUAAAUACCCUCACAUCUGACUUGAGUUCUGGAAUAUUUUUGAAAUAUAUUAUAAUGGAAAAUAUAAACCCAUGGCGUGCAUACUGGUCAGUGACAAAGGCCACUCCAGAUGGUAAGAACUGCACAAAGGCAGCAGGUGCUUUAGCUGGGUCAAGGACAGCCUAAAGAAACAACGCCAUCCAUGCUGUAUCAAGAGUAGAAGACAAGAUAUUCUAGAAUGUUCCAGAACAUUCUAAUAUUUUGGGAACAUUGUAGAAAAGCCCAGAAUGUUCCAAUAAUUCCAGGUGGACAUGAUGUAGAAGGUCACAAGAGGUGCCAGAAAAAGCUCAGGGAAAGUGAUGGGGCCACGGUGGCUCAGUGGGAAGUGGUGAGGCGGAGCAGACAGAGUGUCGACAAAGAUGUAUUGAGAGCGGCUUCCUCAGUGUGUGGGACGCAGCUGCGCCCGAGACGCCCAGUGUGUCGCAUCUGGCAGAGGGACCAUUUAUUACACCAAUCAUCACACAGUGAACAAGCAACUGCUUAAUUGUCAACAUGAUAAAAACUAUAGUUGAGACAUUUUGACACGGGUUUUGGGCCAGAGUUGGGAGGCUCGGGAGAGUCCUUCAGGCCAAAGAGCUGGUCAGGUGUGCACAGGGAACAGCCUUCAACGCACAAGGAACAGCCCUUGUGGGGGCCAAGAGGCAGCUUUAGUGGGAAUCUGACCUUUGCCAUGUGUUUUCUCCAGGAGGAGGCCAUGAGUCCCCAUCCUUCCCUUACAGUGUUCAGGGUGUCCAUGUUGCAGGCCUGCUGUACAGCAAAGCUCUCUUCUUACCUAGCCCUGGCAACACAGCUACCCCACCUCACCCCACCCCGCUGCUCUGUCCCCAGGGAACUAGGAUGCUGGUUCCCAUGGCAACCCCCUGCGACCUGGACACAUGGGUGUUCCUGCAGCUUGCCAUGAGCCAGCCAGCCAGACACCUAUUACCAUUUGAUCUGCAUGCCACACCAGAUGACAAAGAACAGAACCUUGGGGACAACUAGGGAAACUGAGGCUUCAAGGACUGCAUCAAGGUUGGAUGUCAGCCAUGUAGUCAAAUAGCCUUUUCUCUCCUGACAUUCUGGUAGAAACCAUGGCUAGACACCGGCAGGGGAGUCCUGAGUUCUUCAUGGGGCGGAGCCCCUGCUUAGGAUCCCCAGUGAGGGGCUGGGGGGCGUGGCUGGAGAUUCCUCUAGUCUCCCUGCUCAACCCACUUCCCUAGGGCAGGCACAGACUGAAGCAGGCUCAGCCACUCUAUCUUUUUUAUUCACUUUAUUUAAAGAUUUACUCCUCCUCACCCCCUCCCAGCAGGGAGUCCCCAUCCCUCCCUUUUGUAGGGCUGGGUCACCAGAGAUAAAGGGAAAGAGCCUGAGCAGAGGGGAACCCGAGUCCUCAGACCCCAAGAGCGGACACAGA